CAGUAGCCGCGGGAAUACGAAGGGGGCUAGCGUUGCUCGGAAUGACUGGGCGUAAAGGGCGCGUAGGCGGUUUUCCAAGUUAGAUGUGAAAUUCCUGGGCUUAACCUGGGGGCUGCAUUUGAUACUGGGAGGCUUGAGUGUGGAAGAGGGUCGUGGAAUUCCCAGUGUAGAGGUGAAAUUCGUAGAUAUUGGGAAGAACACCGGUGGCGAAGGCGGCGACCUGGUCCAUAACUGACGCUGAGGCGCGAAAGCGUGGGGAGCAAACAGGAUUAGAUACCCCGGUAGUCCCUGUCUCUUAACA
rnacentral:rRNA from 1 species